GUCUAUGGCCAUGCCACCUUGAACAAGCCCGAUCCUGUUUGAUCUCGGAAGCUAAGCAGGGUCGGGCCUGGUUAGCACUUGGAUGGGAGACCACCUAAGAAGACCAGAUGCUGUAGGCA
rnacentral:rRNA from 1 species